AUUGAACGCUGGCGGCAUGCUUUACACAUGCAAGUCGGACGAGUGGCGGACGGGUGAGUAACGCAUCGGAAAGUACCGAGUAAAGGGGGAUAACUGCUGGAAAGGACAGCUAAUACCGCAUACCAUCAGAGGGGCCGAGAUGUGAUUAGCUGGUUGGAGGGGUAAAGGCCCACCAAGGCGACGAUCAGUAGCGGGUCUGAGAGGAUGACCCGCCACACUGGGACUGAGACACGGUCCAGACUCCUACGGGAGGCAGCAGUGGGGAAUUUUGGACAAUGGGCGCAAGCCUGAUCCAGCCAUGCCGCGUGUCUGAAGAAGGCCUUCGGGUUGUAAAGGACUUUUGUCAGGGAAGCGGUACCUGAAGAAUAAGCACCGGCUAACUACGUGCCAGCCGCCGCGGUAAUAC
rnacentral:rRNA from 1 species